rnacentral:rRNA from 1 species
UGCGUAGGCGGACUAAUAAGUCAGUGGUGAAAUCUCUCGGCUCAACCGGGAAACUGCCAUUGAUACUGUUAGUCUUGAGUUCGGUUGAGGUAGGCGGAAUGUGUACUGUAGCGGUGAAAUGCUUAGAUAUUACACAGAACACCAAUUGCGUAGGCAGCUUACUAGACCGACACUGACGCUGAGGCACGAAAGCGUGGGUAGCGAACAGGAUUAGAUACCCUGGUAGUCC